rnacentral:rRNA from 1 species
CCUACGGGUGGCAGCAGUGAGGAAUAUUGGGCAAUGGGCGCGAGCCUGAACCAGCCAAGUAGCGUGAAGGAUGACUGCCCUAUGGUUUGUAAACUUCUUUUAUAUGGGAAUAAAACGUUCCACGUGUGGGAUUUUGUAUGUACCAUAUGAAUAAGGAACGGCUAACUCCGUGCCAGCAGCCGCGGUAAUACGGAGGAUCCGAGCGUUAUCCGGAUUUACUGGGUUUAAGGGGAGCGUAGGUGGAUUGUUAAGUCAGUUGUGAAAGUUUGCGGCUCAACCGUUAAAUUGCAGUUGAAACUGGCAGUCUUGAGUACAGUAGAGGUGGGCGGAAUUCGUGGUGUAGCGGUGAAAUGCUUAGAUAUCACGAAGAACUCCGGUUGCGAAGGCAGUUCACUGGACUGCAACUGACACUGAGGCUCGAAAGUGUGGGUAUCAAACAGGAUUAGAUACCCGUGUAGUC